rnacentral:tRNA from 1 species
AGGGACUUAGGAUAGCACCUAGACCAAGGGCCUUCAAAGCCCUAAGCGGGAGUGAA